AUUAAUUAAAUUAAAAAUAUAUAUACACUAUGUCGGUAAUAAUAUAAUAUAAUAAAGAACAGUGUUACUUGCGAUAUAACAACUAAACACAAUUUCCACCCCUUCUCCAGCGUCUAUACAAUGAACUAUAAAUCAAACGCAUGGCUAUUGGAAGGAAGCAACUUUUGCUUCCAAUUGCGAAGCCGUGCCAAGUUGUGUCCGCUAUCUUUCCAGGAGCAAUGAGAAAACUUUCUUAGCGGGAUGUAAUAAUUGACUCUGGCAUAACGCGCGCGUGGUGAAAACGGACAAUGGCGAAAACUUUCUGACAUUAAUCCCCGCAGAACACUCGGAACAAUCAUCCGACGAUCUUUCGAAAACUUCUCGGCAUCAUUCUAAUAAUCACUGGAAUGUUGUCGCUCAUAUUCCAUAAUAAUUGCAAGAUAACUGUGAGUGCAUUAUCAGAACUGUUCGGAGCAAUCGCAGAUCGGGAGCUCCAGAAACGCUUAUAUCGAGCAUUCAGCGAGAGUAAAGUGUGCUUAACCUUUUGUUCUUAGGAUUUUCCCCACUGCGUAAACUAAAGUGAUUUAAUUUGUUUUAUUUAAUUUGUGCAUUCAAAUAAUUACUGGAUAAGCAGAUGCCAUUUUAUUUCAAUUUAAUUUAAUUUAAUUUAAUUUCAAUUAAUUAAAUUCGAUACAUAUUCUUAUGAAACAAAGAUUAAGUAAUAUUAUAUGGAAUUUAAAGAAAAUGAAAAAAAAAUUAUUUAUAUCAUUAAUUUAUAAUAUUUAAAUCAAUUUAUAGCAUUUAAAUCAAACAGUUGCAUAGCGCCCCUAACAACGACAAGUCACACUUGUGUUUUUCAAUUUUGACCUGUAAUUUAUAAUGUAUUAACGAGUGUCACUCGUUAUUGUAAGGCAAGGAGUUAAACUGAACUAUAAUUAAAAAUUUUGUUCAAUAAUGAUAAAACGAAAUAACGUACGUUCCGUAUACGUGUUUGUAGAGGUAUAUAUUUACUAGCUAAUUUAAUUACAAGUAUCAUCGUCGAGCGUCGCAAUAGAAAGUUGUUAGAUGCAAUUGCCGAAGCGACGGUGUUGCUGUUGCGGCGAGAUUGCUGCUAAUGUAAUCAUUCGCAUGUGAUACGCUCAAUUGUCUCUAUAUGCCUUUGAUCAGAUUAAUAUCAACCGUCAUAAGACAAAAGGUAAUGGAAUGACCGCGGUUGUAUCCUCGCUUUGAACGCGGCUCGCCUGAGCGAGAAUGAUCAACUCGGCGAUCUAAUAAAGCGGAGAACUUUCGUGGAUUCGUGCAUCGACCCGAGGGAGCAUAUCGCGAAGGUUUUCCCUGCGAAAGGAAAAGUUACCGGCGAUUUCCAUCGGUCGUCCACGACGAAGCUUUACAUCCCGCUUGAUAUUUUCCGGCAGUGCGCCACGCACCUACGCAAUACGAAAGGGCUGGCGUUACGAUAUAAAAAGCAAUCUGCAGUACAUUUGGCCGAUGGGCUCGAAGCGGAGAGUGGGUGCAGUCGUGCAAUGCACUCGCGUUUCGCGACUGCAACCGAAUCAACGAUUUCGCUCAGAGCAAGGGAAAUCUACUGUAAAGCGGAACGCGCUCGCGUGUUUUCCAAUAACCGUGACGUUUAUGGCACAAAGCUGACCUUGAUCACGCCUAAACGCUCCCGGAAUUGGAAAUGCUGAAAACGUCCUUCUACUCUGGUUCUAUCGGAGAUACGCGUUAAGCUGCGGGUUUGGAUCUCAUCUCCACAAACGAUACGGAGAAGAAGAUGCACGUGAGAGAACGGCUUUCGAGAGCUUUCGAGACUUGCUAUCUAAAUCAAAUUGAAAUUUAAUUAAAAGCUGAAAUAAAUUCGACUCUUUUCAAAUUCGAUGAACUCCGACAAUUCUCUCUAAUCAAAUCAUUUAUAAUUUUUUGUGAAAUAUAAAAAAGCAAUUUGAGAAAAAAGAUCAGAUAUAGCAUGUUAGCUAAUAAAGAUCGCAUCAAAUCGUACACGCGCGAGCCAUUAAAGCUUUUAUAUAAUAACGAAGAGAAAAAGCAGAUAUUAGUCCGCGACGUUUCAAAAACUCAAUUACUUGAUAAACGCUUAGUGAAAUUGUUUUAUACUAUAUAAAUGCCCGAAUUGACGUAAUUGAAACACUGUUGUGGAGACAUACCCCGUUUAGGCCGCGAAAUCGAAUGUUGAUCGAUUGAUUGCGGCAAGAAGGAAGAGGAAACGUCACGCAUGUUAGUGCGUUGCGUUACUCAUGGGACAACUUCACCUACGCACUAUAUCCCAAUUGCUGCCAUUAGUGAGAUUACAAGAGAUUGCGAGUUAAGGCGCUUCACUUCCUUAUCGAGUCAAGACGUCGAUUACCACGUCGCGGGCCGACAGGGCGAUCUACUAAUAAAGCAGCCCUUGACAACGACGAUGACGACGACGACGACAACCGCGUUUCGUCAUGCCAUGAAUUUCAAGGGUAACACUACGAGCGAUCGUUACAAGCUCGUAUAAUGUCCCCCGCACAGGCGAUGGGCUCGUUACGGUCAAUUUAGACGUGCUUUAUUUCAAUUAAACGAGUCAUCAUAGUCUUGAAAUAUAGGAGAAUCAUUACAAUAAUUUAUAUCGUCGUAUGAAUUUAAAGAAAAAGAAAAAAAACAAAUUAACAUUUUCGUGAUUUUUUAAAGUUGAAUAUAGUACGUCAAUAAAUAAAAUAAAUGUCGUAUAAAUAUGAAAGAACAAUAAGAGUACAGGAAGUUUAUCAGAAAAUCAUAAAAUAAGCUUGAUGUCUAAAUAUGAAAAAAAUGUAUACAUAUUUUUAUUGCAACAUUUAUCACUGAUUAAAAAAUAACAAUUUCUCGAUCAUUUUUUUUGAGCUGCUGGAAGUCAAAUAUGUGUAGUGUAACGAUGUCCGUUCCGCAUAUAUAGGUAUUUCGCGGCAUGUUAUAAGCCGGCGUCAUAAACCCCAACUGGCUAUACAAUUAUCAGAGAGAUCAAUGUUAAUCGAAUGUCGAAUAUUUGAGCGUCGAAUAAUUGAUGCAAAUUACGCGAAUGCUUGUGUGAGCGCAAAUGAACAAUGGGAGAAUAAACAUCUGUUAAUUAGUGAGAAUUCGCUCGUGGAUAAAGCAAUUUUUACUUUAUUUAGAUAGACAAGUUGCGGCAAAAUAAAUCCCAUAAAAUGCACGAUGCGAAUAUUCAAUUCUUAUUUUAUCCUAUUGACUUAAUUGUAUCGAAACUUUGUCUAUCGUUCGUAUAUCGUAUUCGAUAUAGCAGAUUAGAUUUCUUAUUAAGCAUUCAGUAAUCCUGAGCAGAUGUUUGCUUCACUUACUAAAGAACUCUCUAUGUAUUUUAUAUGAAUUUUUUAAAUCGAUAAAUAAUAGAAUUAGUGCCAUAUUAUGGAGAACUUUAGUGCACGAUUUAUGUGGGAUUAAAUUAUGAAGCACGUAAAGAGGACGAUCAAUAUAGCAAAAAUUACCUUAAAACUAAAAGUAAUGAGCUUCUACUGUUUUACAUAUGUAUGAGCAGAUUAUUACUAUUUAAUUAAAGUAAUUUGUUGUAACAAGAUAUUUCCAAUAACAUUAUCAAGAGAUGCCAAUAAAAUUAGUAAUAAUAAUAUUAACAAUUAUUAUUAUUAUGAUAACGUUAAUUAAUGUUAAACAAGGUCAGUGUUAUAUUUAAUGAAUUUGUAUGCGUGUAUUUUGUUGGUCACAAAAUUGUUCUGUGCAAUCAAAAGUAUGAUUAAAAAUUAAGAAUAGAAUUGAGCAUUAAUACGACCAAACUAGUAUAUGAAAUAUGUUAUAAUUCAUUUGAAUAAUUCGAUUGAAUACGCCAUUUAUCAGUCCGAUCGGCAAAAAAGUCCGUGAUUUAUCUGCGUUUUAUGAAUCGGAAUUUAUUUGAAGGCUAUGAAUUCUCGAGGGCGAUAAAUAUGUAGAUGCAAGGUCACCGCAGAUGAUAAAGAACUCCGCGAUUAUAUAUAGAGACCUCAUCAAAUACUAGCUAGUGACCAAUACAGCUGUUAGUAUAGAUGCAUCUCGCACGUACCAUCAACGAUCUUUCAGUAACAUCACGUAAUUCCCUUCGUUGUCAUCCGAGAAACGUUAAAAAGGACAUAGCUCUCCAGAGCGAGCGAUGCACACUGUAACGACACUGCAGAGUUACGACACCCGGUAGAUCGCCAACACAGGGUUAAAUUGAAUUGCUCGACUUCUGCUGGCGAGCGAGCACCAAGUCACAGUUUCGACUUCUUUGGCUUUUAGGUCACUAACGCCCUUGGUAGCCGCCCUAUCCCCUUUAAGGGCACCCUCAUCACCCCGCGGCCCUCCUAUACACACGUACCCACCAAGUUUCGGUCUGAUCCGUGAGUAUACAUCGGGGAAUAACUGCCCUGGCGCCGCUUCACGUGCACAUAUAAAAAGUCGGAGGUUGGGGUGAGUGUCCACGAGAGGAAAAGAGAGAGUGAGAGACAUCGUUAUUGCUCAACCCCAUGGCAAUAUUCUUCAUCUAUUGUCGUGUGUUGCGUGUCGUCGCGAGUUAUCGCUAUCACGCGAGAAGUCUUACCGAAGCAAGGGGAAGGAAAAAGAAAAAGAAGAAGAGACGCGCGUGAACCGUCGAAGCGCAUCCCUUAGAUGGGUCCCGGUCGGAAUUCUUAUCGGAUAUCCAUCACGCGUCGGAUAGACGAAGUUACGAAGGCGGCAAGUACAAAAGUUCGCCAGGGAUUCGCCGGUUCCCUAAGAGUUCGAGGGAGCCGGCCCGUACGACGUCACGCCCGCUCGGAAAUCGCAUUAACUCCUCGACGGAACGCUCGACGUCGUCACGCUGACGACGUCCCGAACGAGGGGUGUUUUCUUCCGGAUAACGAUUCCGUCCGAGUUUAGCUCGAACAUUGACACGCGAGAUACUCGUGUCACGCGUACGUGCGGAGAUCAACGCCUCGUAAACGCGCACAAUGAAAAGUUAUCUGUGCGAGCACUCGCUCUUAAUAGACGUGUUUCAGACGUUCCCCUGGGGAGAAUCUGCGGAGCGCCCAUGAGAACUCAAACGGAGUUCAUUCUUCGCGACGACUUAUCGGCAAGUUCCCCAGCUAUGCCGAAGGGGUACAUGGGAGAGCGUUCACGGUGAAUUCCUAUUCUAUAUGCAUCGUGUGUCACUGGCGAAGUUAGGCGAGGAAUCUCCGCGUAUGGCUUUGCAGAGGACUUUUCAGUUGAAUUUUAAGGAGCCACGCACAACUCUUCGGUUUCGCGGCGCGCGCGAUAUUAACCCUCGUGCUGUCGCUCGACUAUCAAGUGAGCUGAUCGAAUCGAUAUAAUCGACAGCCGAACUUCCUCGACAUGGCUGGACACCGUGAGAUUCUUGUUGGGAACUUUUUUAGAUCCAGACGCUUUCCACCGUGUUCUGUUCGGUAAUAUCUUGAUAACGGGGGUAAUUAUAUUAUUUUCAUGGUGCCACUUCGCCCCGAAAUAUGACAUAAAAAAUAAUUUUUUGUAUUGCGUUUUCGAUGUAGUAUUCGAAAAAAUUAUGGAGAGAAUGGAUGCUACCUUAAUUAAAAUUAAAACAAUUUUACGUGUAAAAAUUUUUCAUUUCAUUCAAAAUAUGUCUCUUGGCAGCCUCGAGCACGAUUAGUUAAUGCAUGGAUAAUCUUCCGGAGCUCUGCUUUUGGAGUUGCCUCGAGGAUCUUUGUCAUAGCUAAAAUGUCAUCAGAAUGAGCUUUUGCUCGAAAAAUCGAUAACGAAGAUUAAAUAUCCGUCAUUUUCAUUGGAUUUGACUGUGUUCGUUUAUUUUCUAUCUCCGAAACUCAAAAACUCGCUGCGAUGACAUUCAACCUGCUAGCGCAACGUGUAUACCAGCAUGAAAAAUAAAUAUGUACAUACAAUAACUGUGGGAUAUACCGUGUAGCCCUGCGUAAUGUUGUUACAAACGAGUAUCUGAUAGAACAUCAUACGAGAAACGUUUUCAGAAAAGAUAGAACCACGUCGGAGACAGAAGGGAUCGAUGGUGUAAAUAUCUUGGUUCCCGCUUGAGGAUAUGCUUGAAAGAAAGAGAGAUAUACGCUAUAUCGUUUGCAGUUCAAAUGAACAGCAUUAUCAUCCUCAGCAUUAUUCGGGAGGGUGCAUUUAUGUUCGAGACACGUAGGCUGCGUUUGACUCACCGCUCACGUUCCCACACCCCUCCACGCUACAUUGAGACGUAUUCUUUAAACCGCCAUCAAAGAUACGGGAUUCGCGUGACAUGAUAAAAUUUAGGGUGAGAAUCUCGCGCGCGGAUGUGGAGUUUAAACGUAUUGAGGUCUGUCGAUAACCGGCGCCGUCAGCUGCAAGACGCGUGCGGGGGCAAGAUGCCUAUCGACAUUAUACCGUACACGAUAUUCAGCGCCAUUACAAAUGGCGAUUUAGAGAGGAUAAUGUCGCAAUAAUUGCGGGAUAUUAUGUAGGAUACUAUAGUCCCACGGAGAAGUCGCGAUUAGAUCAAUGAUUUAAGCGGACGUCGAUUCCGCGUGAGGCCGUUCGAGGAAAUUAAUCGCGCCGUUUCGUGCGCACGCCGGUCGCGCGGCGAUGAAUUAUUGAAAAUACGCGAGGAAAGGAAAAAAAAGGAAGGAAAUUGUUCGUCUAAAUGCAGCGACGACUAAACAUUUAUAACGGGCCGUAGAAUAUAACGUUCGGUUGCAUUACGCUCACGUAUCGCGCGCGCAAGGUUCGUCCGCCUCCGCUCGGGACGAUAACAGUCGAUCGAUCAGAACCUAAUAUACCAAAGUUUGAUUUAGACGCCCCGUUUCCGAAAAUUCCGACUAAACACAUCGAAAAUACGUGGCUUUUAUCCCGCGCGAAUCUUUAAAAGCUCGCGCACAUCGAGGGGUUGAAAGGAGCUUAGAAGGGAGAACGGUCCUUCGCGCGAGGAGGACGACGAAGUUAGCGAGACACGCCGUGGAAACACGGAAUAUCUCAGAAGCAUCAGAUAGUUGAAACGACCGAGGGACUACGAUAUAACGACCGGUAUGUACUGGCUGAAGUACGAGGUAUCGAUCAAAGACGACGAGGUCGCCGAGGCCGAGAUUGGACAGCCACGACCAUCAGGACGUCAUUACGCAACACCGUCACUAAUGAUUUGCGUGGGGGAUAAUGUAUCUAUCUAUAAUAAUGUAUCUAUGUCCAUUUAGAUGAUUCUAAUACGUUCAUUCGUACGCGCGAUAUGCAUUUAUGUUGUGUGCAGCGUGUCCGGAAAUAUGUGUUUAGAAACGCUACAUUGAAAAAGUGAACGAAAAAUUUCACAGUGAGAUUGAUCGACAUAUUUAUUUAUAUAAUAUUAGUAAAUUAUAAGAAUUUAGACUUGACUGAUUGUAAGGCACACUUGAUUCAUUGUUUAAAAUUAUCAUACUCUCCAGCAUUUAUGCAUAUCGCGCAUUUAAGAUUUGGGACAAACGACUCAAAAUUUAAAAAAUAUGCAAAAAGAUAUAAAGAUAAAAAAAUGAAAAAAAAUUAAAAUUAAAAUUAAAAUUUUUAACGCAACUUGUACCGUUUUAUCAAUUUUGAUAUAAAAUCAAAAACCUUGCAAUUGCGAAAUUAUCUCGACCUGUUUCUUUUUUUAGAUUUUUAAAAUAUAUUUUUGUACAAUAUGCUUCAAAAUGUUUCACAUACUGUCGUGCUCGACAUAUUCAGAAUGAAAAGCUGACAUCUUCUAGCGCGGCAACACAGGAAAUUACUCGUAACAAUGGCGAGUAGCGAGACCAAGUGACCAAGUUACUCGCGCGAGCCAAGUGCACGCUUAAAGCGCAGUUGCAGGUUGCAUCUGCAGGCCUACACGUGCAACACGUGUCAAGCGGGACGAUUGAUAGUACUGUACUGUUCUAGGCGACUUCCGCAACUUUAGAGCCGUGAGAACUAGCUUGAGAAUUUAUUGAUUGGUUGAUUAAAACAUGACGGUUGAGAUAUGUAGGGUAAGCCGCACAACUAUCGACCCCUUGACAGUUAUUCGUUACUCGUUCGCGCGUCCAGCCAGCAAUAUCCCACGUUAUAGAAGAAGUUUACUCGCAACAGCAACAGCAGCUAUGAAAGCGCUAAAUAUCCGAGCUGCGUUUUUCGCGCGAACCACAAUAAAUGUCCAUUCCGCUUACCGCGUUAUUUAGCGUUAUGCCUUGGGGGACUGGCGGAAUUUAUUAAAUCUAGGAUAACCAACCAGAAUUUAUUGCCUUGGCCCGGUGCGAUCUCGGAAUCUCGGACCUCGAAAUAAAUCUCGGAGAGGAGGGUAAAUCUCAAUCGGGAGAUACGACCGAAUCGCGUUUUUCAUUGCCGCGGUGAGCGUUCGUUUCGCGCGUUCAUUUAACUCGUUGUUACGUAACAGUUGCUUCGUCACAGGAGAAAUUUAUUAAAACCACCGACACGGAGCACACCGACACACUGUAACACUAAAUUUAUUCCGCGUCGGUAAAUCCUUUACGACGCGGCAAUCGAGUGACGUUGCAUUCCAGUGAAUUCCUAUCAGCCGGCCCGCUCGAUGAACAAUUCCGCCGGAAAUUUUCCGCGCAGUUUCGCGGCCGCGUUCUCACCGCCGCGCCGCGAGCAGAAUUUUUCGGGGUAAAAGUUUCCGCGAGUCGUUAAUAUUCACAGCGAGGAGAACGAUUCUCUCGCGCGUGCUGCACGUGACGCGGUAACGAGCCUAAAGUACUUAACCCGUCGACUUCGAGAAGUCCGUUUUUUUAUUUCCGCGUGUUCCGCAGCAAAGGGAAAGAGACCGGGAGUAGGGGAGGCAGACUAUUCGCCUUCGGCGGAUGUUUUGUUUCGAAAACGUGCACCAAUGCGCCCCGCAGCAUUUUCCCGGCGACGAAAUACCGCUGUUUCGAGUGGACCGUUCUGCACAGCCUCUUUCUGGGUUUUGCUGAUCUCUUUUCAGGCAAACAAUUAAUCAAACGGAGGAUGAAAGCUUUUUGAGCUUUGAGUUUUGAGCGCGGGACCGAUUGGCCAUCUACGCUUCGGGCACUGACCGAACUCCACUUCCGCCGUGCUUGUUCUUUAAUGGAAGUUAGUGUGUUUAUGAUCUCUGCUGCACUGGUAUUUCAUGGCCCAACAAGCGUGUUUACGUUACUUAACUCAUUUACAUCACGUAAAUGCAUCGCGGUCAAGCUAAUAACGAGAAUUGUCAAAUGCUGAUUAAAGUCAAUUAUCAACGCAGUGUCCCUCUGUUCUCUCGCUCUCUCUUUCUUUCUCCCUCUUCCUCUUUCUCUUUCUCUCUCGUACAUAAUACUGCGUGCAAUUCCGUCGCGUUAAAAUAUUUUAAUUGCGCUUUUAUUAUAGAAUCGUUGUAAUAAAUCGUCGGUAUUUUGGUAACUGAAUUAUACGCCGAAAAUAAAUAGCACUGACACCGAAAAACGCGUAUUCACACUGAUCAGUUUGCGUCAUGCGUGAUACGGGUCAUUUAAUAUCCGCGGAUUAUAUCAUAAUCGGCGAUAUCGACAACUCGAUGCCUGCGGCGUAUUCCGCUUAUAGAUACGAAUACAUUAAAUAUCAUCCCACACGCGCGUACGUCCUGCGUCAAAGUUACCGAAAAUUAUUUUCGAAACACGAAAUAUAUUUUUACAUAUUUCAAGGGAUAUUUACUUUGAUGAGAAAGUGGUAUGUGCAAAUAAUUCUCCGCUCUGCAAUUCCCUCAUAAUUAAAAAAAAUUUUACUACUGUUGGCAGAACGUUUGAUUUUUCACCGAUUGAUUUCUAAUCAAAUAUUACGCCUUAAAAAUAUGUAGAUAUUCCAUAAAAAAACGGAACAACUUUUCGAAACUACGCAAUAUGUAUUACACUAUAACUGUACAAGAAAAAAAAGAGAAAUCUUAUUUUAUAUUUAUAAAUAAAUCUUAUUUAAAUUGCGCGCGUAUUCGUUGUAAAUGUGUAUGCUUGUUGAAUCCGAUUAUAUCUAUGGCGUAAUCAAUAAUGUUAUAAAUUAUCCGUGAGACGUUUAAAAAUAAAAACGUGAGCGUACAUUGACGCAUACGUUUUUUAUCCGCAGACACGUGCGCGUCGCUUGAUCCAUUUAGCUGUAAUGUACGUGCGAUGCAAUUAAAAUAUUUAUUACAGAUGCACUCGCGUCCUUGCAUAUGCAAAUCAAAAUUUCACGCUAUCUUAGAAAGGCAUGUUAUAGGUAGGUUAUUCACACCGUGCGAUCAAUUAAGCGUGGAUAAACGAUAAUACAGGCCGUGAGUAUGCAAAUUACAUCAUUCGAUGAGCACGGGUUUAUGCAUCGGCGAGUUGCCUAAUAAACCAUGUUAACGAUUAGCCGAUAAUCCCGGACGAUAUACUUCGUUCCGCAGUUCUUGAAACGAUCCCGCGCGGAGAACGCAAUUUCUAUCGCAUUAUUGCACGUGUAACACGCGUCACGCUAGCUCGUAAACUUUUUAUUACUACGAAUGUCGGAAAAUAAAACUAACUGACGACAGCACGUCUGACAUGUUUUCCACGAUUCCAACAUCUCUAAUAUUUUAACAUUUCUGACUUGCAAAUAAUAAAUAAAAAGUAUUAGCACUUAACAAUUGUUAAGAAUAAUGUAUGAAAAAGAAUGCUUCACAGAGAGCGUUUCUACGAAUAUAAAUGGAGAAUAUUUAUUUAAAUACCUUUUCAAUCUUCGUUUCAAAAUUUUCUUUUGUUUUUAUCAACAAAAGCAAUUUUGCGCGAUUUUUCCCGGCGAAUGAAGUGACUUUAAGAGAGAAACGAAGUCUCCGCGACAAGCAGUGUCUCAUAACCGUAUCCCUCCGUGGAAGCAGCAAUAUUACUGUAAGUUGAAUGUAUCUUCAUCAUGGAUAGCAGGCUCAUAAUUUAACCUGCGCGACACCAGGUAGCCUCUUUUGUACCUUCGCACCUUCCCAGCCUCUAAAAUAUGCACGCCCCUCCUGCACCUCGAUGAAUCGCGGGCACGACCCGCGAAAGAACCUUUCUUCAGUCAUUUAAAAUUCCGCGUGACCACCGUAUGCAAAUCACUCGGGGCCGGUGUGUCUGAACUGAUAUUACCGUGCGCAGGGAGAAGAAAGAGAAGCGAGGGAGAACAGCGAAAAACGGGCUGUGACUAAAAAUUCCGUUCCAUUUUUCUGUUCUGCUAUCGGAGUCACAGAGCGCGAUUGUUGCCGGCACUACGAUCGCGCAUAAAUUUUUAUUCAGUUGUCGUUCACGCGCGUUAGCGGCCUUUUAUGGGGUAUUUCGCGCGUGAUCCAUUCCGAGUGAUCGUAACUUUGCUUUUUAUCGAGAUUUCCAGACGAGCGCAGGAUGUAAAGCUACAUAAAAUUAAUAAUCAUUAAGUGUGUACAGUGUCGUUGUUAAUUCCUAUCUUUAAACAAGAUUGAAUUUUUGAAUCUAUAUUUCGCGGAAACAGUUUCUGAGAAGAAUAAAUCACAAUCACAAAUUAUUUAUCAAUUUACAAUCAUCUACACUGAUAUUUUCAGGCAAAACUAUUUUUAUAUGAAGCAUGUAAUUUUAUGCUAUUAGUCUAUUUCUUGUUAAUCAACUGCAAUUACGCACGGCUAUUUCGUAAAUUAAGGGACGGCAGAGGCACACGUCAAUCUCGCUGCACAUCUCGCCACACAGUUUUGGUACACGUUGAAGGGUCAAUGUUAUCUCGCGUCGGGAUAUCCGAAGGCAAACACGUGGGUGUGCACGGAGCUCAUUUGUCGCGCGAAAGAUCGCCCGUAAAUCCGCCGUUGAUUUAAACGUCAUCGUAAAUUGUCGCGUAACGUAUUUCACCCCCGCUUGUACAGGGGUGCAGGAGUCACGUUGCGUGUCACGGCGCUACGCCAGAAAAUCACAUGCAUGUAGAGCAGAAAAAUCACGAGGCGGUGUCUCCCGGCUUUCCUCUCGGCUGCGUUAAAUCGUGAUCUUGUUAAACGCGUCCUGACUUUAAGAACCUGAUGGAUAUAUAAUGGUGAUAACCAUACGCUCAUAUUUACGAGCUCAUACCGUUUAAGAUGCUUCGCAAUUAGCGCCGAGAACGCGGGCUGCGAGCCAUAAAGCGAACAACACAGAGUUAUAUCGCGGCUAUUAAAAUAAAUGCUAUAAAUUACCGUGCAACAUUAUCUCGUUCGCUUAAUCGAGAACCAAAAGGAGAAGAAUGUUCGUGUUGAAAACGCGAGAGUCUUUAAUUUUCUGUCACGCGAAAUUUCAACUGCUGGAAAUCGCAAGUAGCACGCGCGAAAUUUUACAUUUAAUUAUUCUCUUGCUCUCUUUUUCCUCUAUCUCGUUUUCAUUCUGUUUGGCUGCAACGCACUUUAAAACCUGCGUCAACCAUUUCAACCAACGCCAACAUCAACCAACGUCGUGUAGCACCAUUUCGGACUUCCCACUUGGUGGCUUAUUGUGCGAACGCGUCAACUACUCUUUCAGGAGUGCUUUCCAGCCUUGAAGUCUCUCUUUCGGGAGGAAAUAGAGAUUGCUUGGUGCUUGCGUUAGAGAGACCCCUCUAGAAGCCGGCGAGGCCUCAUUAAAAUCAGAAUUUUCGAGCUGCCUCGGCCCGGCUAGAGGCGCGAUGCUGCCUUGGCCAAACUCUUAAUUAAUAAAACAAAACUAUCUAGAAAACAUCCUGAUAUGUAUGUAUGUAAUUACAAUUAUUGAUUAUUAGGAAAUAACAAUAAUAUAUCAGAACAGUAAAUAUUUGCAUAAAAAUAUCUCUGAUUCAAUCAGUAUAUUGAGUGAUCUAUAACGUACAUAGAAAUAAUAUUUAUCUUAUGAAAAAUGAGAAUAAUGAUUAUUGCAUCAUAAUUUUGUAGACAUUUUCAACAUUGCAUUUACAGCAAUGCUUUUUUACUAAUAUCCCAUCUUAGUUUUUGAUAUUUUAUACACACAUACAUUGUUUCCAUUUUUUAUGCACUAUUCGUAUAUUACGCGGAAGAAACAUUGCGGAAUUUGAUCUGCAAAGUAUCUCUUGAACCUCGCUAGGCGCGUCGUGCUCGCAUAAGACGUGAGACGUCUUGAGCGCAAGUGGAACGAGGAACGUGUAGUCAGCCCGAGGAACGCGCGAGGAAUGAGCGUUCUCGAGAAACGAGAGCGAGCAAGAGAAAGUGAUCAACGAAAAGCACGAAGAAAUACGAGCCGCUUCCCCUGCCACAUCGCCAGGCAAGUUUUUUACUUCAGAUACCUUUUAUGCUAAUCCAGGAUAAUAUCUGUGUACUAAGUAUUAGAUAUCAUCUUAAGGAAACUGAGCAACCGAUGGAGCACUUCAGUCAAGCUCCGCAGGGAAGGUAAAUUCUUUCUAAGAGCAAUAUCAGUUAAAUCAAGAACCGUAUCAGCCAGCACUCGGUUUUGUAAACAAAAUCCAGUGCGCAUUUAUGCGCACGUUAGUACGUAAGAAGGAGAAAAAUCGUAUAUAAAGUGCAAUAAAGUAAAAGCGUUAACGCUUAUCAUUAUCACAAUUUAGUAGUUCGGAUUAUGUGAUUCGCGCAGUCUCCUUUCAUAGAGUUUCGUCGAGAUAUAUCAAGAUCGAAAUGUUUAUAAUAAUUGUCUUAACAUUGUGCUCGCAACAAUUAUAUUGCAACAUUGCAUUCCACCAAAAACACUGAAGAUUCUUAAGUUAUUAUGGGGUCAUCAAAAGCCAGGCCGAAUGCCAGUAGGUGAGAUUUAAAUGUAAACUUUCUGGCUCGUAUAAAUACAUUCCGCAAGUUUGAGUUGCAUUACGUUUAAGUUGCCGACGGUGCGCCUGCCAGUGAUUUAAUGCUACCUCAAACAAAGCGAAACUAUGUUCGUAUGAAAGAUUACUUCUGUAGUUCUUGCGCGAAUGUUAAAACACGUCGGGAUGACGAUGACUGGAAACCGGGCUACCGUGGAACGAGAACAGAACAAGAAAGGCAGCGAAAAGUCGGCUUGUCAGACAGAAUAAGACAAACUAGAAAAUCUACGGAAACGUAACGAAAUAAGGGCCACUCCUCCGGCAGCAUACGGAAAGGUCGUCAUCUUAACGGAACGCGCAAGAGGACAUUAUUCGAGGAAACUGAGAUUUCCCAUUGGAAAUGGAAUCUUUAUGGCUAUUUGGCUUGUGCUCAUUUCCGAAUGUAAAUUCUUGAGGAUAUUACGAUUUACGCAGUUUUCCCUCUUGAUUUUCAUGUAAAGAGCAUUUAAUUACUAAAUUAAUUUUGCUCUACUGUUAAUAAAAUUCGGUAAACUAAUAUAAACUGUACUAUUUACAAAAAUAUUUAUCCGUAUAAAAUAUUAUUUAUAAAUAAUACGUAUCCGUAUUAUUUACCUGCGAAAUGUUACUUACGAAUAAUAAUGUAGCAAUUAAAAGAAUACAGAAUAAAUGUUGACUUGAACUUUAAACGAUUUAUAGAAAAAGACUCAUACGAGAUAUUACCCAUUAUUUAAUAAUUAUAUAAAUUACAAGUAACAAAAUUCUUGAACAUUAUUUCAGCACAUUUAUUCAUUUAUCCUAUCGCUUUUUCAUAAAAAGAAAAAGAAAAGCACUUCCAUGAAUAAAUAUAACCGCAUGUGAAAAUAUGAUGGAUAAAACUAAUCAUAUUUUCAACAAAAAGAGGGAAAAAGAUGAGGGUGUGCUCAUAUGUGCAUACAUUUUUUAUUGAGUCUAUAUCACGUGACGUGGAUCCCAUCAGAAGCAGAAUUAAGAAUUGACGUCGACUACCGGAUCGGAGAUUAUCUCUUGAAAGGAUAGAAGGGAACGCUAUUUUUUACGAGCUAACGCGUACAUCGAUAAAGCGUGUUCUCUGCUGGCGUUUAAAAUCUUUUUCUCGUGUUUGAUCGAUUCGCCGGCACGUGUCCCGUGACGAAAUCGCCAGGAAUUGCAUUUUUGUUUUUUUUUUCCUUUUUUUCCGGUGUCGGCCGGCUUGAUCCAGUCAUUUCUGUCGCAGCCGAGCGUCGAGCACCACAGGAUGCGGAAUACAGAGCGAAAAAUCGUUGCACGGAAACUUUGUCGCGUUUACAAUAGGUGCACGCGUGUUAAUAAACUCGCGUGGCGCGGCGAGGGGAUUUGGAAAAAUAUGUACGCGCCGCGCUAUCCGUGAGGAUUAUAAAUUUCGUACGACAAAUAUCCGCGAAUGCUCGCAAAACUUGACGUGUCACAUCCGACAUUUAUGCGCGGCGCCCGAGUCCGUGCGAAAUGUGCAUGUACACAGCGAUCAGUAACAUCGGUUUUAAUCUUGUUAAUUGUUUUAAUAAUUUAUUACUGUUGCUGUUAUACACGCAGGACCGAUGUAAUAAUAUGCAAUAAAGAAUGCCAUUAUCUUUUUCCCUUUCUCUCUUUCUCUUUCUUUCUUCCUCUCUUUAAUGCAGCUGCAUCAGCUUGAAAUAUAUCGAUUCAAAUUACAUCAAGCCACUUGGAUUAUUUUAUGUUAUAUUAAAACCGCCACGUAUUCUUCCCGUCACGUAUUUUUGUUAUUACUCUUCUGAACAUUUAUUUGCAAUGAAUAUUUUCAUGAAGAUUAAACAAAAUAAGUCGCACUACAUUUGUCUAUUAUCGCGUUUAUACUUAUUCGAACGAAAUUUUUAUGAGUUACCUAGAAAGAUUUAUGCUUAAAAGUACAACUGUAGUGUCUCUGAAUUUAAUUAUAUAUUAUGCAAAGAAUAAAACAUAUGGAAAAGUCUAUUAUAUAUUAACAUAUUCUUGGCAUUCGUACGGGAUUUCGCAUACGGGAUUUUUCGUCUUCUCUUUCAAAGGAAAAAAAGUAUUUUUUUCACUCUUGCAAUGUGGUCCACGAGUCGGAAGCUCGAAAGCAUCGCGAUAUACUUUCAGCGUAAUUAAAAUUACGGAAUGAGUAAAGAAACUAGCUUAAAAGGCGCGGCGUGCGCGCAAAAGGGAUAUAAUUAAGCAAAUACCGUUCCUUUCAUAAUAUGCGUUAUGACCUGCUUAAUUAUUCGUUGCGUAUUUUAUUAUAGUACAACACGUACUUAAAAAUCCGACAAGAAAACUGCAAACUCUCAUUCGGCAGCGAAUAAUUAACAAAACGGGAAACCAGUGAAAAUGUUACUUGCUCUGAUAUCUCCUAUUGCGAGGAAAACAAAAUUAUGAUAAAUACCCGUGCAGAAAAUUGUUAGGGCCUAAUAUGAAAGUAAAGGCCCCUAUAAGGAAUAAAUAGGGAUGUCCUAAAAAGGGAUGCCCUAUCAGUGCCACAUCGUGGCCCGAUUAGAUAUUAUAUUUUUUAUUAUUUCCUUAUAAGGUCCCGAAAAAAUAUUUGUUACAUACUAUUCUAGGGCCAUAUUAAUAUUGAGGAAAAUUAAUCGGGUCCUACUUAGGACCCUAUAAAUUUUUUUACACGGGUAUUACAAUUAAUUAAACCCUCCUAUCUUGUUUAUCAAUGAGACUACUAAUUGUAAGUCUUCUUAUUCCACAAUAAACUAUCAGAAAACGUUUCACAUCAAGAUCGAAAAUUAAUGAUAAUCGAUAAUCCCGAUGUUUCUCAACAAGAUCAUCCUCGCAAGCACAAAUAAAAACUCUGUCUUUGAUCUUUCAUGCGAAGAUAGAAGAAAAUCACCCAUAAACACACGUGUGUAAGAUAAUUGUCUACCCAAUCGUAUCUGGAAUUUGAUUUGUGAAAUUUAUCCAGGAAGUGAGAAAUAUUGUCUGGAACGCGCAAAGAUUAACUCAUCGUUCUUGAUCUCGGUCACGACACCAUUUAAGACACCCCCAUGUCGCACAACUCCUAAUAUGCGGGUAGGAAAAAAUAACAGGUGCAUUUCGUCGGUAUCUCUAUAGCGCACAUACACACAUACACACACAAGGAAAAGCGAACCGAGCAAGAAAAAUAUUUUUAUUGCACCGGAAGAGCCAGCACACCGCACACAUGCAGCCACGUACAGUAGUUGUAAAACAACUAUUAUGCAAUGGUGGUCCCGUUAAGACCACGUGAAGUCCACCAAUUUACCAUUUUAUUUUAUCACCACACACACAUGAACGCGCACGCAUACAGAGUAUUUCUGUUUCGCCAAUGAACAACUUUAUUCUUUUCGUACGGAGAGUUCUUUCUCUUGCUUUACUUGAGAAAAUGUAUCCGGCUACACCUUGUCGCAUCGAUUAAUCUUUCAACGCGAGACUUUUAUAUCUUGGAGAGCCGGAAAUCAACAACAGAUCGACAUAAAAAUUUAAUGCGAAACAAACAAAUAUCCAGCGGGAAUUGAUAUUGUCCAUUGCAUAAAAAUUUAAUACAAAACAACAAAUAAAUAUCCAGCGGAAAUUGAUAUUGUCCAUUGCCGUGACAUUUAAUAAUUUAAUAUUUAAUGAUGAUAACGAAUGUGCGUCAAGAUAUUCGUGUAAAAUAAAGCUAUUAUAUUUUAUAUUUUUUAUAUUUAUUGUUUAAUUUUUAUAUGUAUUAAGUCUAAACUUGAUUCUCUUUUGAAUCACUGAAGUCUUUUAAAUAAAUUACAUUCUUGAUACAUUUGUGACUCCAAGAUCAUAUUUGAUAACCUUGUGUUGCAUGAAAUUGUUUCUUUGUCACAGUACGAACAGCGAGAUAUCAAAACAAUGAUUAGACAAUGUAUCUGACGUUCCAAGAUUCAAGAUUCAAAUUACUCGAAGAAGAACAUGUUCAAUCUUGAAAUAUCCUACAUUGAGAAAAAGUUCCAUCGGGUAACCGAUUAAAUAGUGUUUCCGUUAAUUUUAUUUAAAUUAUUAAACCGAUUAAAUGAUGGAUAUAUCCGAUUAUCUUCAUCGGAUAUGUCUGAUCAUCUUCUUUGUCUUAAUACAAUUUAAGCGGAUAUAUCCGUUUGUUAUUAUGUAAUUGAUUAUCCGAUUAGAUAUUUUUCUCAGCGUAUCGUGAUACUUAACAAUAUAUAAUUUAUAUCAACUUUUAACAAUAGCAAUAACUCAAUAAUUAUCUUUUAUUAGAAUGCCACGCAAAUGCAGAACAAAAGAAGCAAACUAUCAGAGCAGAAAAAUUGUGCCGCGUUUUUUUAGAAUCAGAGGUGUUAAAGCGGGAUUUCCGCUACUUGAUUAAACCUCCUCCGACGAAGGAGGAAACGAUUCUCCCCGUUCAAAAGGAAAAAGAAUCGGGACAAUCGGCGUGCGGCUUAAUAUCGCAGGAUUUCGAAUUAGCCAGAGCGAGCAUGAGCAAAGGGGAUCGAGCUGAGCUCGGUUUCGAGCGUUGCCUCGACGUGAUGCUUAAUCAAAGUAGCUUACGCAAAUUAAUUUAUGCCUACGCACGUACGCGGUAAUUAUAGCCUACGCAAAACUAUAGGCAGCCGUUGCGGGCAACGUAGCACGUGCAACGACUUCACGACCCUGGCUUAUGAACGGUGCAUUCGGAUGAUUAAACUGGCCGUAAGGUAUUUCCCGGACAAGAGGAGAGACGGAGGGAAAAAACCGACACUCUGAUAAUUAUACUCCGAUCUGGGCGCGUUGUAGAAAAAGGAAAGGAAAAAAACGGAAAAAGAAACGAUGAGAGAGAGAGAGAAAGAGAAAGAGAAGGUGAGGAAAGAGAAGGAGUAAUUACGCGCUUUUUACGCGCGCCUGCAUUACGCGGAAAAUGAUUAAAGGGCCGAAUAAUGAUGAAUGUUCUAUAAAAAGAAGCGCGCAGUUAAUCACUGGUCCUUGCGCGCCGAGGCCGAUCUGUUAAUUAUCCAUUCAAAUUUUGUCCGUUUGUCUCUUUGGUUAUUUUUACCGUUCAUUCGAAAAUUUAUCGCCGGCAAAUCGAUGUCAUCGAUCACCGCGAAACGAUUCGGUGCAAUUUGUUUAUAGUUUCGCUCGUAUCGCUCGUAAUCUGUAACGCGAUACGCGAUACGUGAUACAUUGAACGGUGAAGAUACAAAGUUAAUAUAAUAAUACCGUGGCCCCGUAAAUUCUUUUGAGAGUUAAAUUACCGAUCUGUGACGUAACGUCCAUUACGUUACUAAAAUAAAUAAAAUCUACGAGCUGUGCAUUUUAUCAGCGUUAGAAAAAAAUGAAACAACGGAAAUAUUUUAUAAAUCACGAUUAUUUUAUUCUGCUUUAUUUAUUUAAUCAAUGCGUCUUUUAUUAUAUCUCUCAUUCUCUCUGAAUCUUUAUGUCUUUUAUUUCGCGUAAAAAUAAUUUCAUAUUUAAUUACAGAAUGGUUUUAAUUAUGUAAAUAUAAGCUCUUCAUAUAUUAUAUUUAUGCUCGUCCUUAAAUUUCUUCGUCGUUUUUAAUUUAAUUUGCUUCAUAUAUUAAUAUGGAUUCGUAAUCAUCCAGAAUUCACACAUUGCUUCGCUCAAAUAUAGUAAAAACCACGAUACAAAAUUACAUCAUAAACUCUCGAAUUAGCUUGUGUUUCAACGUAAAACGAGUUUUUAUAAUUACACGAAGGGAAUCUUGGCGGUUAACGACUUAAUCUCUCAGGCGUGGUUGACUUUAAGAAUCGAUGUCGAGCCAUUUGACUCCCAAAUGAUGACACAUGCUGGCCGCGUGGGCCCACCCCGUAACCUAAUGACUUUCAGCACGGAGAUCCAUAACUGCCUAACGAUCUCGAUUUAUCAUGAAUACCGCGAAAUAGUAUAUCAAGACCAUCACUUUAAAAUGAAUAUUAAUUUCCGUUAUGUGAAAAUAAUUAUAAUUAUUGUAUUUAUUUAUUUAUAAGUUAUAAAUUUAUUUAUAUCAGCAUCAUUACAACACCUAAACAUAUUCGAGAUAGAAAAAUAACUCUCACGAAAUGUCUCGUUUAAUUUUACCCGUAAAAUUUUGUAGAUUAAAGUCACGACAGUUGUCUUGUUGACUUUUUUCUUGGCAUUUCUGUCAGCACACGAAACUUUUUUAGUAGUGAGCGUGUCUGGACACAUCAUGACACAUUGAUUUAAGCAACAGAAUAUAACUCAAGAAUAUCGUGAGAGACAUCGUCGCGCGAUCGCGGAAACGUUAACGUGGAAGAUCCAAUUAUUUCCCGUAAUUAAAUAGCUUUAGGCAUUCGCGAAAGCCAACAUUCUCUGCGAGCUGUGGUUAAAAAAGAAAUUAAAAUUAACAUCGGCGAGGCUGCAGCGGCCACGCUCGGUAUCGUUAAUCAAUUAGCCUGACCUUAACCCAGCGACGAAACCGCGUUUCGAGCCUCUUUUCGAGCUGUCUACGGUUUAAAGCGGAUCGUACAAACGCGUUAAUGCCGUUCGGUUUGCGUGAAUU